AUCAGAACUGCAAUAUGUUAAUGAAAGUAUGAGGUAAGGUAACAUGUGAUGAAAUCCAUCACCAAGUAUGUCGUAUUGAUCUUCCAGUAGUUGAACAUUUGUGAGCUUUGCUUUCAAAAAUAAACUGUUUCAAUCAAGUUCUACCACCUCGGAACACAAACUAAACCCACAUUACCAAACCCCACACAUUAUACAUAUUGAAAACCAAA